GUGGAAGGGCUUUGUGUUAGGGUUGGGA
rnacentral:piRNA from 1 species